rnacentral:rRNA from 1 species
UACGGAAGGCAGCAGUGGGGAAUAUUGCACAAUGGGCGAAAGCCUGAUGCAGCUAUGCCGCGUGUAUGAAGAAGGCCUUAGGGUUGUAAAGCUCUUUUAGUGAGAAAGAUAAUGACGGUACUCACAGAAGAAGUCCUGGCUAACUCCGUGCCAGCAGCCGCGGUAAUACGGAGAGGGCUAGCGUUAUUCGGAAUUAUUGGGCGUAAAGAGCGCGUAGGCUGAUUAGUAAGUUAAAAGUGAAAUCCCAAAGCUUAACUUUGGAAUUGCUUUUUAAAACUGCUAGUCUAGAGAUUGAAAGAGGAUAGAGGAAUUCCUAGUGUAGAGGUGAAAUUCGUAAAUAUUAGGAGGAACACCAGUGGCGAAGGCGUCUAUCUGGUUCAAAUCUGACGCUGAGGGCGCGAAGGCGUGGGGAGCAAACAGGGAUUAGAUACC